rnacentral:rRNA from 1 species
CUACGGGAGGCAGCAGUGGGGAAUAUUGCGCAAUGGGCGAAAGCCUGACGCAGCGACGCCGCGUGAGGGACGAAGGUCUUCGGAUUGUAAACCUCUUUCAGCAGGGACGAAGCGAAAGUGACUGUACCUGCAGAAGAAGCACCGGCUAACUACGUGCCAGCAGCCGCGGUAAUACGUAGGGUGCAAGCGUUGUCCGGAUUUAUUGGGCGUAAAGAGCUCGUAGGCGGUUUGUCGCGUCGGAUGUGAAAACCCAAUGGCUUAACCUUGGGCCUGCAUUCGAUACGGGCAGACUAGAGUGUGGUAGGGGAGACUGGAACUCCUGGUGUAGCGGUGGAAUGCGCAGAUAUCAGGAAGAACACCGAUGGCGAAGGCAGGUCUCUGGGCCACAACUGACGCUGAGAAGCGAAAGCAUGGGGAGCGAACAGGAUUAGAAACCCCAGUAGUCC